CCAGAAUUGAAUCUAAUGACAAUGUACUUACUUCUUGUUUAUGAUAUGAAGAAUCAUUCUCUUUAUCGGCCUAUGUAUACUGAAACUAUUGAAAUGGUCGGAUAAGACGAAUGGUUUUAAUUGGCAGAACCAAUAGUUGAACGAAAUACUUUUAAUAUGUUUUGUAUAAAUUUUAUAUAUAUAUAAACCAGUUGGUAAUAUCUAUGUACUUUAUUAGUGUUCAAUUUUUUUGGAUUUAACAGUACUUGAAUUUUUUUUGUACCCCUCUAAAUUUUUUGGAGUUAAAGCAUAUUUGGGGUUGGAAGUGUGAUAAAUUAUUUAUGAAAGAUGUGAAUAUAAUAAUCAAACUUUGAGGUACAUGGUAUUAAGUACAACAUUUUUAAUGAGACCUGUGAUAAUUAGAAUUAUAGAAGAGGAUAUCAAAUGAGAGAAUGAAAAAUGCGUUUUUCGGAAGCAAAUCGCAACACACUCUUAUUUAUUAUAUUAAAUAUAAUAAUAUAAAUAUUAAACUGAAACCUCUCAGAAAAGGUUACUCGCGUUUAAGUUUACGCGAUACCUUUCGUUUAUAUUUACUCCCGCGCCCCCACGUAAUUCUCAAGCAGCUGCACCGAGUAAUGAAGGAGGGAGAAUGCAAUUGUAUAGUGACGCGCAUCAGCCAAUCACAAUAAUCGCAAGAGGGGAACCGCGCAGUGGUGGGAUCCCCUCCUGAGUCAACAUAAUCGAGAUGUUUACGUUUCUGACGAGUCAACUUAAACGAGGUUUCAGUGUAUAUGAAAACAAUUUGCUGUUUUUAUGCCACGCAUUUGGUCUACAUUUGAUAGUCAAUAAUUUCCGCAAUGCGAAGAAAUUUCGCAAAUCGUUCCAAACACAUUUUGCGAAGGUUUUUUUUUUUACAAUAGCGUGUGACUUCUCAAUAAAUUAUGUCGCGAAUAACGAAAAAUUCAAUGCGGCCUUGGAGUGUGAGUACCGAAAUACAAGUACACAAUUAGGCGAGAAAAAAAGUAAGAUUGUGGGAGUGAUCGGGGAAGAGAGUAAGAGUGCAAACGGAAUGAAUCAGGGUAUAAAUAUUAUUACCGGUUUUCCAAGUGAAAUUAAAAGAGAUAAAUUUUUAGGAGAGACGAAUAUCGGGCCAUAUCAAUCACAGAUUAAAAAGACAGGCGACAUCGAAUUUUGAACAAGAUGUAAACUUCAAGUGGAUUGCGAAAGGAUAAUCAAUUACAACAGUUAUCGACCAACAAUGUGAUGUCGACCUUACACCGAUUUUAAUAAUAAUAAUAUUACACAGUAAUAAUUAUAAAAAUUGUAAGGAUAAAGCAACAUUCUUAUACAAUAACACUGGCCAAAUCCGCAAUUCAUUGUUUGUGUUUUAUGUUGUAACAAAUGAAAUUAAUUAUUUAUAUCAUUUUUAUUUAUUCAUGUUUCUCUUUUCUUUUCAAAUGUUAACUACAACACUUUAAAGGAUUGUCAACGAAUACAAUAAGUGUUGUCUAAUCUUUAGAGAAAACAACAAUACCAAGUAAAUUUAUAUUUUAAUUUGUACUAUUUUAAUCCAUGCAACACACUCAUUGGCAUUUACUACAUUCAUUUUAAACUGAAGAUUCUAUAAAUCGUAUUCUUUUUUUUUCCAUGAAUAUAAUUAUUCGUGGUAAUUGUUAUAUUUCAUAUUCGCCAACGCAUAUUAAUCUUCUGCCUUAAAAUCUUGAAUAUCAAUCUUCACUAGUAGUCUGUUAUUUAAAGUUACUAAAAUAAAAACGGAUCCAAAGUUAUUGUGUUAUACACAAAAAUUAAUUUAUUUCCAAAGUAUAAUUAUGGCUAUUAAUUAUUAUUGCGAGUACUAUCAAACUAUUAUUAAAAUAUAUUGAUCACAAUUUGAACUAUUGUACAUCAAAACCUAUUUGUCUGUCUUACAGAUGACUUAAGGGGUUAGACUACUGUGAAAUGUUCAAAAUUUCGAAAUUUUUUAUCGUUAAAAAAUAAUUUUAAGUGUUUAGAAUAAUAUUCAAAAGAUUCCAUGUAGAUAUGUGAAGUAUUUUUGGAGUCAUAGCGUUUUUAACAAAGGAAGAAUUUGACGCGCAGGUAAACGUCCAGAGCUCAAAAUUUUAAAUGCGUUUUUCUCGAAACUAUGUUUUUCAAAACGGUGCACACGAUAUUUCGGGCUGCGAUUGAUGAAUCGACUUGAAAUUUGGUACACAUGUUCAGAGGAAUACAAAUUUAGGCGUGACGGACGAUUUUAUCAAUACGUUUUUUUGCAAUAUUUAUUAAUAAUAAUAACACGCAUUACAGCUCCGAAAAUUGCAACAGAUAUUCAAGAAUUUUUUCUCGUAGAUGAAAAAACAGCUCGGUCAUGCCAUAGUUAAUACCAUGUAGUUAAUGAGGAUAUUUUUAAUUUUUGAUUCAGACCAACCAUAUUUGCGAAAUCGUGUACACCGACCGAUCGCACCCGGAAAAUAUCAGGCGACGCGAAGAAGAAUAACGUGUGGAAAUUUCAAUAUUUGGUUAUGAAACUUUUUACACACACUCCUUAAGUUAUACAUAACAAAAUAUUAAAAAAUUAAAAAUAUUGCAUUCGUAGUUUUUGCGAAAUAAAUUUCCAAAAAUUAGCCUGUCUGGGAGCCGGUCACAGUAGCCUAACCCCUUAAGAAAAACUAUUGAAAAAAAUAUAGUAAAAAAAAGGGUACUAGCAACCGAUUAUGCAAUUUCAUCUAAUUGUACUUAUUACAUUAAAACAAACGAAUGAACUCAGUAUUCGAUAAUGUACCUUUUAUCAACAUUACCAUCUGAGGCGAAAUAAGAUUACUUACAAAUUCAAGUUGAUCAAUAAUUGGGUCUAUGUGAAGCAUGAAAUAUAAUAUGAAAUACUAUAAAAUUGAUAUAUCACGAUUACAUCCCAUUGUUGAAUUAUUCCGUAAAUAAUAUCCAUUUUUGUGUGGUCAGUAUGAUAACCAGAAUUUCCGAACACAUAUCGAAUGAAGCAAAUGCUACAUGAUAACAAUCAAUGGAUGCAAUAUUGAGUUUUUUAUUUUUUCCUCAAGUUGGUAUCAACUGUUGUCAAUACUAUUAUAACAAUUAUUGUAAAAUUAUCGAGGUUGUUACUUUCGCAUAAAUUAUAUAUUUUUUUGGGUAUCAUCAGUAUAUUUUUGUUAUUUUUCACUGAAAGUGAAAUUCUAUCAAUUUCUUAUUUAUAAGAUUGUUGUUCUCGUCAAUCUAAUCAGAAUGCUACAUAUAAACGACGGAUAGUUCCACCUGAUAUAAAUAUUUCGACGCGUAUCAAAGGCACUUAAAUAUGCAAGCUGCGAUUUUGUUCUUGUUAAGAAACGAAUUAAUAAAUUAAAAAAUAAUCAGUGACUUAAGAUGAGACAUUUCGACUUUCCAUAUCAGUUUUCGAUCUUUAUUUGCGGGAAGUAAUAUAGAAUAUGAUAAACAUUUUAGAUAAGUUAAAUUGGCAAUCAAAUAUAUACAUCGUGGUCCAAUCCAAACUAGAGUGUUACAAUUUUUUAUGCAUAGAAUUGUGAAUCAACUUCGAUGUCGUAUAAUAAAUCGCCAUAAUGAUGAACAAUAAGAUAUUGUUAUCCUAUUAUAAGAAUCGAUUCUUCGCAUAAUUCGCUGUAUUGGACCCAACUCAAUCAUGCGAUGCAUUUUACAUUUGUAUUUUCACUAAUUAUAUCUCGCAUAUGACUGAUCUAAAUCAUAUUUGAUUAUAACACUUAUAUUUAUUCUGGUCGAGACUCUAACGAAUAGAAAUUACAAGAGUAUUUACAAAAAAAAACUGCAGGUCAUACUUCGAAAAACUACACUCGAAAAGAUUAUCUCGAUAUUUUGUAUUCCUCUUUCGUCAAUGAAAAAUGGAUAUAUUUUAUCUAUUUAUUAUAUGUAUAUGAUAAAAUGGAUAUUUCAUUUACUCCAUAAUUUGCUGAAAUAAAAUUCAUCUUGAAUGUGUAAUAUAUCCGCAAUUGCUAAAGACGCCUACCUGAUUGUCAAUCAUUGAAGAAAUUAUACUCUUCGCUCAAAUUAUUACUAUUACGAAGAAAUUGAAAAAAAUAUAACUGAGUUCGAUGGAUUUAUUAGAUAUAUCUGAAUGUUGCAGUUCAAAAAACAUUUUACGCGUAAAGGAAAUUUUUAACAAUUUUACUCAUGAUUUUAUUGUCUCUACCUUACAGUUAACUAAUAACAACGCAUCAGACUUCCGUUAUUGAAUAGCUAAUAUUGAGAUAACAUAUAUUUGGUACUUCUUGAUGAAUCAAAAUAAAAUAUGAAUAUUAUUUAGUAUUGGUUUUCCAAUGAAAAUUAAUGACUGACAUUUAUAUUAUUAUAGCAUUUGUAAAUUAAAUGAUUUAUUCGUAUAAAAACAUAUUUUAAUCUAGACAAAAAAAUCCCAGUGCUAUACAACUUUAAUAAUUAAUAUUAUAUCAACGAUGUUAAUUUUUGCGGCCUAAAUUCUAGUAUGCUUAAUAAUCAGCUCAUUUAUUAUGUAUAGAUAUGUUAUUAUUAUUGCAUUCUUAAUUAAAAAUUUUAGAAUAUUUACAAUUCCUGAUGUUAAUAAGUAUAUCCAGAGCAGAUAAUGCAUCAUUAUUUUUAACCCUAUUUUGUCCAAUUACUAAUUCAAUAUAUAUACUUUUAUAUACAUAUAGCUCCCUAUAUUCCAAAAAUAAACAGUUAAGUUAAACUGCAGUUAUGGAUUAUGAAUUAUGAAAAAGAUAGAUGAAGAUGAGCCUUUCUCUAACAAAUCAUUUUAUUACUUUGUUCACCCUGAAUAGCAGUAAUCACUUUUGGGGUUAUGUAUGUAUAAUUGUAAUGUGUAUAAUUUUGUAUUAUUAUGCUAUGAAUAAUAUAUGUUUUGUUAACAGUUUCAAUGAAUUGUUGAAAGUAUACCUCCAAAAUAUGGACUGUGAACAAUUCUAUCUCUAUGAUAAGUUGAUGAUAAGAAAAUUUUACUCUGUAUUAUGCUGUAGAAAUUUAUGUAUUAAAAUAUUUUAUAAUUCA